UACGAAGGGGGCUAGCGUUGCUCGGAAUCACUGGGCGUAAAGCGCACGUAGGCGGAUCUUUAAGUCAGGGGUGAAAUCCUGGAGCUCAACUCCAGAACUGCCUUUGAUACUGGGGAUCUCGAGUCCGGGAGAGGUGAGUGGAACUGCGAGUGUAGAGGUGAAAUUCGUAGAUAUUCGCAAGAACACCAGUGGCGAAGGCGGCAUCCUGGACCGGUAUUGACGCUGAGGCGCGAAAGCCAGGGGAGCAAACGGG
rnacentral:rRNA from 1 species